rnacentral:rRNA from 1 species
UCUGGCGGUAAUAGCGCGGUGGUCCCACCUGACCCCAUGCCGAACUCAGAAGUGAAACGCCGUAGUGCCGAU